GUCCCUCAGCUGGAGGAAUGCUACAUGUGAAAAAAUUCUUCAUUCCCCACGGCUGGUUGAGUCCAGAAGCCAAGUGUCAGGUAACUUAAAAAACGAAGUGCAUUUUAAAGCAUUAAGAACACAGGAAUAGAAGGAGGGGAGGAGCUGGAAGUUAAACUAAAACAAACAAAAACAAAGCAACUUGACUUCUCUGCACAGUCCUGGAGAUAGACAUAUCCUAAGUUUAUGUGGCUGGGAGAAACCUGUUACGGUGAUUGAUAUCUUCUACACUUGUAACUUCCCCUGCAAGUCACAAAAGCCACACUAGCUGGUUAAAGCAGCAUCUUCACUGCGAAUAACUACAUAUGAAAUCACCAUGAUGUGUAACCUUUGAUGAACAGAAAUAAAAGUUUUUAUGACCAAUA